AUAUUAUUCGGACAGUCGGUCUACUGAGCAAGGACACCGGCUCGUUGGAAGAUCUUUUCGUCAACCU
rnacentral:pre_miRNA from 1 species